rnacentral:rRNA from 1 species
GACGAACGCUGGCGGCGUGCCUAAUACAUGCAAGUCGAGCGAGUCUGCCUUGAAGAUCGGAGUGCUUGCACUCUGUGAAACAAGAUACAGGCUAGCGGCGGACGGGUGAGUAACACGUGGGUAACCUGCCCAAGAGAUCGGGAUAACACCUGUAAACAGAUGCUAAUACCGGAUAACAACAGAUGAUGCCUAUCAACUGUUUAAAAGAUGGUUCUGCUAUCACUCUUGGAUGGACCUGCGGUGCAUUAGCUAGUUGGUAGGGUAACGGCCUACCAAGGCGAUGAUGCAUAGCCGAGUUGAGAGACUGAUCGGCCACAUUGGGACUGAGACACGGCCCAAACUCCUACGGGAGGCAGCAGUAGGGAAUCUUCCACAAUGGACGCAAGUCUGAUGGAGCAACGCCGCGUGAGUGAAGAAGGGUUUCGGCUCGUAAAGCUCUGUUGUUGGUGAAGAAGGACAGGGGUAGUAACUGACCUUUGUUUGACGGUAAUCAAUUAGAAAGUCACGGCUAACUACGUG